AACGAACGCUGGCGGCAUGCCUAACACAUGCAAGUCGAACGAGACCUUCGGGUCUAGUGGCGCAUGGGUGCGUAACGCGUGGGAAUCUGCCCUUGGGUUCGGAAUAACAGUUGGAAACGACUGCUAAUACCGGAUGAUGACGUAAGUCCAAAGAUUUAUCGCCCAAGGAUGAGCCCGCGUAGGAUUAGCUAGUUGGUGAGGUAAAGGCUCACCAAGGCGACGAUCCUUAGCUGGUCUGAGAGGAUGAUCAGCCACACUGGGACUGAGACACGGCCCAGACUCCUACGGGAGGCAGCAGUGGGGAAUAUUGGACAAUGGGCGAAAGCCUGAUCCAGCAAUGCCGCGUGAGUGAUGAAGGCCUUAGGGUUGUAAAGCUCUUUUACCCGGGAUGAUAAUGACAGUACCGGGAGAAUAAGCUCCGGCUAACUCCGUG
rnacentral:rRNA from 1 species